UAACGGCCAUACCAUGCUGAAUAUACCGGUUCUCGUUAGAUCACCGAAGUUAAGCAUCAUUGGGCGCGGUCAGUACUUGGGUGGGUGGGAACACUGCGUGCCGU